rnacentral:rRNA from 1 species
AGAGUUUGAUCCUGGCUCAGAACGAACGCUGGCGGCGUGCUUAACACAUGCAAGUCGAACGCGAACGAGUUCUUCGGAACUUUAGUAGAGUGGCGCACGGGUGAGUAACGCGUAAGUAAUCUACCCUCGCAUCCGGGAUAACCCACCGAAAGGUGUGCUAAUACCUGAUACGUCUGAAUUAAUAUCUUUUUUUCAGAGAAAGAUGGCCUCUUCAUGAAAGCUAUUGUGCGGGGAGGAGCUUGCGUACCAUUAGCUAGUUGGUAGGGUAAAGGCCUACCAAGGCAAUGAUGGUUAGCGGGUCUGAGAGGAUGAUCAGCCACACUGGAACUGAGACACGGUCCAGACUCCUACGGGAGGCAGCAGUGGGGAAUAUUGCGCAAUGGGGGAAACCCUGACGCAGUGACGCCGUGUGAGUGAUGAAGGUUUUCGGAUCGUAAAGCUCUGUCAGAUGGGAAGAAUAAAGGCAGGGAAAAUAUUUCUGCCUGAUGACGUACCAUCAGAGAAGCACCGCUAACU